rnacentral:rRNA from 1 species
GACGAACGCUGGCGGCGUGCUUAACACAUGCAAGUCGAACGGUGAAAGCGGAGCUUGCUCCGCUGGAUCAGUGGCGAACGGGUGAGUAACACGUGGGCAACCUGCCCCUCACUUCGGGAUAACUCCGGGAAACCGGGGCUAAUACCGGAUAUGACCUCCUUGGGCAUCCUUGGAGGUGGAAAGUUUUUCGGUGAGGGAUGGGCCCGCGGCCUAUCAGCUUGUUGGUGGGGUAGUGGCUCACCAAGGCGACGACGGGUAGCCGGCCUGAGAGGGCGACCGGCCACACUGGGACUGAGACACGGCCCAGACUCCUACGGGAGGCAGCAGUGGGGAACAUUGCGCAAUGGGCGAAAGCCUGACGCAGCAACGCCGCGUGCGGGAUGACGGCCUUCGGGUUGUAAACCGCUUUCAGCAGGGAAGAAGCCGCAAGGUGACGGUACCUGCAGAAGAAGCACCGGCUAACUACGUGCCAGCAGCCGCCGUAA